rnacentral:rRNA from 1 species
AACGAACGCUGGCGGCAGGCUUAACACAUGCAAGUCGAACGCAUCCUUCGGGGUGAGUGGCAGACGGGUGAGUAACGCGUGGGAACGUGCCCUUCAGUUCGGGAUAACCCAGGGAAACUUGGGCUAAUACCGGAUACGUGCGAGAGCAGAAAGAUUUAUCGCUGAAGGAUCGGCCCGCGUCUGAUUAGCUAGUUGGUGGGGUAAUGGCCCACCAAGGCGACGAUCAGUAGCUGGUCUGAGAGGAUGAUCAGCCACAUUGGGACUGAGACACGGCCCAAACUCCUACGUGAGGCAGCAGUGGGGAAUAUUGGACAAUGGGCGCAAGCCUGAUCCAGCCAUGCCGCGUGAGUGAUGAAGGCCUUAGGGUUGUAAAGCUCUUUCGUCCGGGACGAUAGUGACGGUACCGGAAGAAGAAGCCCCGGCUAACUUCGUGCCAGCAGCCGCGGUAA